CAAACUAUGAUGGGAAAUUAACAGGUAAGAGGAUACCUUUUGUUGUGAAUCUUCAAUGAAAUAUACUUUAUUAUACUUGGCUUCGUGAG